rnacentral:rRNA from 1 species
GAUGAACGCUGGCGGCGUGCUUAACACAUGCAAGUCGAGCGGAAAGGCUCCUGCUUGCAGGGGUACUCGAGUGGCGAACGGGUGAGUAACACGUGGGUGAUCUGCCCUGCACUUCGGGAUAAGCCUGGGAAACUGGGUCUAAUACCGGAUAGGACGAUGGUUUGGAUGCCAUUGUGGAAAGUUUUUCGGUGUGGGAUGAGCUCGCGGCCUAUCGGCUUGUUGGUGGGGUAAUGGCCUACCAAGGCGUCGACGGGUAGCCGGCCUGAGAGGGUGUACGGCCACAUUGGGACUGAGAUACGGCCCAGACUCCUACGGGAGGCAGCAGUGGGGAAUAUUGCACAAUGGGCGCAAGCCUGAUGCAGCGACGCCGCGUGGGGGAUGACGGCCUUCGGGUUGUAAACUCCUUUCGCUAGGGACGAAGCGCAAGUGACGGUACCUGGAGAAGAAGCACCGGCUAACUACGUG